AAUUAUUUUGAUUUGUAAAUUUUUACUUGACCUCUUUACAUAAGGUGCUAAAGGAGCAAAUUAACAAUUUGUUGUGCUUAAGAGACAUUUAAUAAUUAUUUAAAAAUUAUAAGUCUUUUUACAACUAUGUAAGUACUAAAAACUAUUUAGUUGAUGUACGAAAAAUAUGAGCUUUAAUUUAUAAAUCAAAAAGUGAUAAAAUAAUAUUCUAUUUAAUACAUGCAAAAAUUGGAAAAUAUGGAUAAAAUUUUCAAAUUUAUUAAUAUUAUGAUAAUCAUUCUUUCCUUGUUUCUUGAUUCAACAAAAAUUGCACGUGCUGCAAUUCCAUGUAAAACCGAUCGUGAUUGUCCAAAUCCACGCACACCAUUCAAUAAAAAAAAUGAGAUGUCGUAAAGGUUUUUGUAUAGAAUUUUAAGGCUCCAAAGAUUUUAUGAUUGUCGGACUCAAAAGAAUAUACAAAAGCACAACUAGAAUAUUCCAUGAGUUCUUAUUUAUUUAUUUAUUUAUUUAUUAUGAUCACCCAAUAAAUGAAUUUUCAUAUAACUUUUCUAACUUUUUUGACUUUAAGAUGUUGCAAGUGAAAUGAAAUAAAGCAUAAAAAAUAUUAUUAUAUCUUAAUUUUGAGAUAUCAUGAUGCUAGAAAUGAUCAUUGUGGUGUUCAUUUAAGCAUAUCCAA